GAUAAUGAAUGUUUGAUGUGUUAAAUAUGAGUUUUAUUCAAUGAAUUUUGGUAAAAAUGUCAAAAAGGGGUUAAAUUGUGAAAGUUACAAAUUGGUCAUAAGUGUGUGAAUUAGUGAAAAUUUGGAGUUGCCAUAGAAGAGAAAAAUGUUCAGCAUGUCUUAAACCUUAUAGAAAUUGAAUAAAAAUUAAUUUACGAGCAUUGGGGCAAAAGUGUAAAUAUGUAAAAGUUUUGGUGUCAAAAUGAAAAUUUGUAAAAAUAUGAUUUUUAGACCCAUAUGAAUAUUGUGACUGAUUGGUAGGCUAAAUGUGAUGUUAUAGAUGAUGAAAAUUGAGACUUGGACCUAGAACGGAAAGAAAUCGAUUUAUGGACGAGUAUGUCCUUUUCACAUUUGUGGUAUCGAGAGUUCCAAGUUAGCUCAGGUUGGAGGCCGUUAGAGAUAUUAUCACCCUAUCGAGUUAACGUUAUCGGAAUUGACGUGGAAGUAUACGGAGGAUCGGAUCAACACAGAGGAUCACACUAUCCAGAUUAUAUCCGGUAGCUUUUGUAAAUUUCUUUUUGAUUUAUAUGGCAUGUAUAAGGUUUGAUGAUUAUAUACAUACUAAGACUUGUUUAAGAAAUAUAUAUUAAAGUAAAGAAUGAUGAAUAUGUUAAAUAGUAUAAUUAUAAUAGUAGUAUAAUUUGGUAUCAAA